GCCAUUUUACAAUCUCCACGGGUCGACCAUGGAGUACAGUGAGGAGGAGCCUCCCAAUUCUUUGGAAAGUGAUUCAACACCAACAGCUUCCACAUCAGAAGUAACGGGCUCACAAGAUCCCCAAAUUCCUGAAGACAGCGGAGCUGAAUACUUUGGCGACCUGGGGGCCGAAACUGCCACCAAUGAAGGCACCCAAACUUCUGCCGAUGGCACCCAAGCCGAUGUCGAUGGCGGCACCGACAUUGCUGCCAAAACUCCUGAGGAAAACUUACUGGAAGGGACAGAGAUGAGUAAAAGCCAGGAUGAACCUCCUCAGGAACUUGAGAACCAGUUUAUAUUGCGUCUCCCACUGGAACAUGCAUUUACUGUCAGGAAGAUGGUACAUUCUGGAAGUGUUGCCAUGAAGGAUAAACUAAAAAUUGACUUAUCUUCUGAUGGACGUCAUGCAGUUGUUGAUGUAGAAGAUGUCUCACUAACUGCUAAGCUGGUUGAUUUGCCUUGCAUUAUCGGAAGCCUGAAAACUCUUGAUAAAAAAACUUUUUAUAAGACAGCAGAUAUUUCUCAGAUGCUUGUGUGCACUGCUGAUGAUGAUCUCCACUCUUCUCCAGAAGAAUCAGUUACCUCUACUGACCUUAACGCAGUCAUGAAAAAUGAAAAAGAGAGAGAGCAAAAAUAUGUCUGGAAGCAUGGCAUUACUCCACCACUUAAGAAUGUCAGAAAGAAAAGGUUCCGCAAAACAACAAAAAAGCUCACUGAUUUCAAACAGAUUGAAGAAAUCAGCUUUCCUGAGGAGCAGGGCAUUCCUGCAAAACACAGGGUGUUAAAUGACAUUACUGAUAUCCCCCCUUCCCCUGCUUUGGUUCAAUACAUUGAAUCUCCUGAUGUGGAAAAGGAAGUGAAAAGACUACUGUGUUCAGAUGCUGAAGCUCUCAGUGCUCGAUGGGAAGUCAUUGCUGAAGAUGAAACCAAAGAAAUAGAAAGUCAAGGCUCUAUCCCAGGCUUUGCAAUGUCCCCAGGAAUAAGUGGCUAUAAGCAGGGUCAUUUCUCAUCAGAAUAUGGUAUGUUUCGGGAGAUGUUCAGUGAUUCUAGUAGCAACAGUGAUGAUGAGGAUGAGGAAGAGGAUGAGGAUGAUGAAGAGGAUGAAGAAGAUGAUGAAGAAGAUGACUACGAUGAGGAUGAAGUUGAGAAAGAUUAUUAUGAAGAGGAUCUGGAAAGGGAGCUACAGGCCAAGUUCUUUGCAUCUGGCCAGUAUGAGGCAAAGGAAGGAGCCAGUUCAGCAGUCAUGGAUAUUCAGAAGCAGAUUCAUUACAUGGAGAAAAAGCUCCAAGAGAUUCAAUGCAAAGCACAAAGACAGAGGGAUCUCUUAAAGAAAGUGGAAAACCUGACACUCAAGAGUCAUUUACAGUCUGUGCUGGAGCAGCUUAAGUUACAGGAAAAAGAAAAAAAUGAGCAGAAUGAAAAUCUACACUGGUAUGGAGUGACCUAAAUUGAAUAAUACUCAAAACCAAUCUCUGUCCCAAAGACAGUAUACCUCUCAAUGUUUUUGCUCAUUUUCCUCCGGGAACAAUUGAAAUCUAUUUUGGAGAAGUAAGAGAGCCUUCAGCCUGGCACAUGAACCUUGGAUUUACUAUCCAGAUUGAAGACUGGAUGAAAUUGUACGUGUUUCUGUCCCUUUCAUUGCCGUAUGCGAAGUCAUUUGUUAUUUGUUGAUCUGAAACUUUUUAUGCUAGUCACAUUUGAAGUUUAUAGCUGUGUAGAAAGGGACAGAAUAUAAAAAAGUAGUAGCUACCUAAAAUCCCAACUCAAUAUAGAACUUCCCUUCUCUUUAUCAACUUGAUAAUUGCUUACAUUGCCUCUGCUCUGUUGGUGCCAUCAAAUGAUUCAGCCAUGCUUCCCAAAGACAGUCUAGCCUGAAGGCCAUACAGCUAGCUGGUUUGUGUAUGUUUUCAGUUCCCUUCUUCUAUUAAUUUUAAAUAUUUCCUAAAACAUGGAACAAAUCAUUUCUACCAAAGGCUAGGACCUCUCACAGUGAAUUAAGUGCCUAUCUCCCAGCAGUUAACACCAGCUUGUGUCCUGUCUUUGUUAAGGUAAUAGGGGCUGCUUUCCUGCUCAGGGAUGAUUUCUUGCUGCUGCUAUCUUUGUUCUGUUGUGUUUUUAGGGAUUGUGUCUGGUUAUUAUUUGACAGCUAAGAGAAUAGUUAGGACAGAGAUGAAAUUCUGAGUUGUUAUCCUUAUUCUGAGCCUCUUUAUCCUAACCCCCAUCAGAAAAGGUUAGGAAAAAUCAGAUGCCUGUGAUGCCUGUGAAGACUCCCUUAAAAACCCUGAGUGGGUUUGUUUUUUCAGCUGUAUUGUUAAAGUUUUCUGGCCUGUGUUCUUUAAGCAAUAAAUAAAUUCUUCAUUUUAA